GACGAACGCUGGCGGCGUGCUUAACACAUGCAAGUCGAACGGAAAGGCCCUGCUUUUGUGGGGUGCUCGAGUGGCGAACGGGUGAGUAACACGUGAGUAACCUACCCUUGACUUUGGGAUAACUUCAGGAAACUGGGGCUAAUACCGGAUAGGAGCUCCUGCUGCAUGGUGGGGGUUGGAAAGUUUCGGCGGUUGGGGAUGGACUCGCGGCUUAUCAGCUUGUUGGUGGGGUAGUGGAUUACCAAGGCUUUGACGGGUAGCCGGGCUGAGAGGGUGACCGGCCACAUUGGGACUGAGAUACGGCCCAGACUCCUACGGGAGGCAGCAGUGGGGAAUAUUGCACAAUGGGCGGAAGCCUGAUGCAGCAACGCCGCGUGGGGGAUGACGGCCUUCGGGUUGUAAACCGCUUUCGCCUGUGACGAAGCGUGAGUGACGGUAAUGGGUAAAGAAGCACCGGCUAACUACGUG
rnacentral:rRNA from 1 species